AGGAGACGACUCUCGUCCUCUGGUGGUCAAAUGCUGUUUUAGUUUCGUCUUUGAGGGUGUUCAGGCUAUCUACUUUCUAUGAGCUUCUAUACAUGAAGGGCGGUUUUAUGUUUAUAAUACAGAAACAUUAGGCUGAGACACAUAUAUUUGAUUUGAUGCGGCAUGUAAUUUACACGAAGCGAAACAACAUGACAACUUUGCAGACCAACCUGUUUUUAUAAACACAAAACCCAAAUCUCCGAGCAGACGAAUGGAUGCUAGUGCUAGUAUUCGUGUUGUGGGUGUGUUAUAAACAACAGGGAGGGUCAUUUAGUGUCCCUGCACAUGUGUAUUGAUGUUUUAUUAUCAUGUAGCGUGAAAUCCUCGACACAUUUGAUGCUCUUUAUUUGACUGAAAUAAUGUUUUGUGGGGCGUCAUAAACUCGGCGGCAUCGGCUAAAUAGCGUCUUUGUGUCAUUUUUCUUAGUAAUGAACGCAGAUUUAUUUAUCAGUGUGUCAACUUUACUGCAAAGAGUUUCAGUCCUGUGCUGCAGACACAAAUGAUUCCUCAUCCUGUGUUCCUGUGUUUCUGAGGAGAGGUGUGCUGUUAUUUAAAGUGACCAGACUUGUGGUUUUCACCUGCUGGACGAUGAAUCAGGUGAAAAAUCCCUCCGAGACAUUUCUACAGACCAGAAUAUGACUGAGACCGUAUCAUAUCAGUCAUUUGGGCUCUUUUGACCAGUAAACAUCCACCAACUCAGAGCACACUAGCAUAGGCGGCGUUAAAGAGGAGAACUGGAGCCGGAGCCGAUGUCUUGAACAGUCAACGUAUUUGUGUCUGAUCUUCACCAUUAUCAGUGGAAAGUUAAGUGUUUCCAGCAGAUGCAGAAGAUCACGACUGCAGCGACAAUCAACAGAGAUCCAGCAGCAGCAGAAAUCAACACUAUCAGAGAAACUGAAUCUGGAGGAUAUGAAGGAGAGUAAAAGAGAGACAGUCAUUAAUAUGCAGAAGAUCACGACUGCAGCGACAAUCAACAGAGAUCCAGCAGCAGCAGAAAUCAACACUAUCAGAGAAACUGAAUCUGGAGGAUAUGAAGGAGAGUAAAAGAGAGACAGUCAUUAAUAUGGGUGGUUCCUCGAGAUAAUUUGCUGGAGGCUGCGAUUGGUUCUCCUCCUCACCUGAUCCAGAUAUAAGGACUGCCCCAAACACUCAAUCUCUGCCGUGAUUGUGCCAUCGUGUGAGACUCUGUAGUUUGCCUUUGUGCCUUGCCCUCGUCAUUCGUUUAAGUCUUUGAGUGUUUUACCAGAGAAAUAGUGUGGGGGUGCUUAAGAUUGUGAGUGUGAUUGUAAUUCUGUGAUAGUAUUUUUGUUUCUAUUCUGUGAUAUUCCUUGUUAACUUGACCCACGCCUGAUUGACUACGAUUCUAAGUUUUGGCAAGUUAAGGGUUGUAGGGGGUUAGACGCUAUUUUAUUUUGAAACAUCUUUUCACUUUGUUUUUGGUUUAGGGAGUCAGGUAAGUUGAAACUGUAUUUUUCUUUUCUUUAAUUUUGAUUUAGGAAGUGUAGAGUGUUAAAAUAUAAUUUUUGUUUGUUAUUUUGGCCUUGUCUAGCUGCCCCUGAAGCUAACCCCAUAUUUGUAAAUACAUUCUUGUAAUUCAACAUCUCUCUGGUAUUGAGACUCUUCCUUUUUCCUGUUACGGCUGAACACUAGCGGUCGUAACAGUUGUAUUAACCUUUUGUGAAUCUGUGUUUCUUUCAGGAGAAUAAUACCCCAACAUACAGUGCACUAAUUGGAACUGACUUGAUAUUAAAAUUAAAUGAUGGAGUGGUGCUAAUGAGAUGUCUCAUAAUUGGAAUGAGACUGAGGCUAGAUGUUUCUUGUUUUAUUAGUUACCAGAUUUGUGGUUUUCGCCUGCUGGGCGAGGAAUCAGGUGAAAGGUUACUCAGAUGCACAAUGAACAAGGGACCCGAGACAUAUCUACAGACCAGAAUAUGUCAGAGAUUAUAUCAUAUCAGUCACGUGGGCUCUUUUGACCAGUAAACAUCCACCAACUCAGAGCACACAAGCAUAGGCGGCGUUACAGAGCUGGAACUGGAGCAGAUGUCCUGAGCACUCAACAUAUCUGAUCUUUGCAGUUAUGAUUGGAAACUCAAGAUAUCAGAAGGAUCCCAGCAUAAGGAACAACACAUGCAGAAGAUCACGACUGCAGCGACAAUCAACAGAGAUCCAGCAGCAGCAGAAAUCAACACUAUCAGAGAAACUGAAUCUGGAGGAUAUGAAGGAGAGUAAAAGAGAGACAGUCAUUAAUAUGCAGCAGACCAUGACUGCAAUUAUAAUCAACAGAGAUCCAGCAGCAGCGUUUGAAUAGCUUGUCCCAUGAUCCUCCUGUUGAUCCGUAUGGGUGGCAUUACUCGCCAGGAAGUUCUGGAGCUCAGACGCUGAAUCCAUUGGUGGUCAGAUUGUUCGGUCACGGCAAAAAGAGAAUUCAAAUGCGAGUGCAAGUAAAACAGUUUAUUGAUAACUUGAAGCAAGCAAGACAAAAGGACCAGUAACAGGUGCAACCGGAGAGAAUCCUGGAAACGGGAAUCCUGAGUACAGACCAUCCACAACAGGAAUCCAGUCAGUACGACCGCAGAAGCCCAGAACACGAACAGAACCCGGUCGACACGGGAGCGCUGCCAGGACAAGACUCCACACAUCAACAACAACGAGCUGACAACAAAAGAUCAUCUUCUGAGUCAAACUGAAACUGCUGUGGUUGGCUUCCUUCAGAGAUGUGCUUUGAUCUGGAUAAACUUGUUACAGUCAGCCGGAUCCAGACCAGAUGGUGGACCUGCACCUAUACACAACCUCAUGACGAUCCCAUGUGAAGACCUCGUCAACAUGUCAGCCAUUGGAACAGAUCCUCAGCAAAGACCACAAGAACCAGUCAAGCUGCUCAGACUCUUGUGGCCAGAUUAGUCUCCAUACCAGCGUGAUGAAUCUGAUCUUUAAGCAGAAGGUACUGGAUGAAAUAUUCUGAAUGCUACCGAUCUCAAUCUGACUUGUGAUGCAGGCUGAAUCAUAAUUAUACAGUGUUCAUUUGUUGGCCAGAGGAGAACUGCACCAAUCUCCACCAAUAAAGUCUAAGCUUUGCAAUGAGGGGAAGACUAUUUCCACAACAGCUGAACAACAUCCAAAAUGCAUAAUCUUCCUAUUAUCACUGCAAAGCUGCUUCAAAAGUGCUGUAUAAAUAAAGGUGACUUGACUUGGAAGAUGUGUUGUAUUGAAGCAUUCAACAAUGUAGCACAUAUCAUUUUGACUCAUUCGCUUUGACCUGUUUAAUCUGUGGUCUGAAUGCAGUGAAUUUUGUCAUAUACACACACACACACAUACAUAUAUAUAUAUAUACACUGAAUUAUUGAAGUAAUAAAUAAUCAUUUGACUAUUAAUAACUUAAUAAACACCUGACUCCCAGUUUGCUUUCACUUUAGGGGCG